AUGACAAGAGGUUGUCAACUUAGCCAAGAAACUUGCCUAUGAACCACGAAAGGGAUUAUAAUAAUCAGAUGCAUGUAGAGCAGCCUUCAGGCCAUAGGCAAGUCAUCCUUGGCUACUGAUGAUGCACAAUCUGGCCG
rfam:Nelumbo nucifera unplaced genomic scaffold scaffold00101, whole genome shotgun sequence